GCGGAACCUCCAAGCUUUAUUGAGAGACCUCACUUAUGGCGGAGGAAAACCGUGGUAACAACUAGACACUUACACAAAGAAAAACAAAACAAUAUCCCAAGUAUCAAAACAAACAAAAGACAAUAAAGCAAACACAAAAGAACAAACUAAACAAGUCUUAAUAUAAACAAUACCCAUUUUAUCUAACCUAAUCAAACUUUUUAUAAGCCUAGGGAGAUGUUCCACAUUGGUAAAUAAGAAGCUGGUUUAACUAGCACAACUACGAGCCAAAGCAUCAGCCUCCUUUUGGCUCUAAAAAUAUGAUGAAUAGAAUAAUCCUUAACAUCCAAUAACCCCUUAAGUGGUCCCUAGAAGUCCCAAAGAUACCAAAGCUUGCAAGAACGAGACCGAAUCCAGCUAACAACAAUAUUAGAAUCACAUUCAAUGCCAAUACCAUCAUAACCCAAUUGCUUACACACAAGUAAGCCUUCAAGAAUAGCGCAUAAACUCAGCUUCAUUAUUUGAGCAACUGCCAAAAAAAUUGAAAAGCCAAAAAUGAAGUUGCUUGAACCAUGACGAAGUAAACCACCUCCACCAGCAUUUCCACGAUUUCCAAGACUACUCCCAUCAAAAUUAAGCUUAAAUCUUCCAUGCACCGGUUUAAGCCAUCUUGCCUGACGUUGCCCUCGCUGCAUCAGAUAACAAUAAGAUAAGCUGAUAAGUAGUAGUAGAAAGAAGACAGUGAAGUGUAAAAAUUUCCCUUUAUUUUCCACCAAUUUUAGGGUCACUACACUAAAUGGUACUAAAAGAUAUCAAAUAGAGGCAGGCAUUCGAUAAACCUUGUUUGAAAGGAAAGAAGGUACUCUUAAGCAUGGAAGGAAAAAGAAAAAGAACAAUAUGGUAUUUAAAGAGCACAAAAACAUAUACUUGCUGUUACACGUAAAUAAAUAAAAGCUACCAUUUUCCCAAAAUCUGUAGUAGGAUACAAUACAUGUAUGAUGUAUCAAACAACUAAGAGAUGAGAAAACGAUCCUUCUAAUACCACUAGAUUACCUCAUGGAAGGACGUAGCUCAAUCUCAAUCAAAUUAUACAAUUACUUGCUGGAGACAUAAACGCUAUAACCUCACUUUUUAGAGCAGCAGUUUUUGACUUUUUGUACCUCGUUGUGCUUAACAACAUCAGAAACACAUCGCUUGUAGUGGUCUUAAAAAUUCCAAUGUGUAAACUAUAUUGACAAAAUUGGAAAAACAUUGUAUCCACUGAAUGGCCUCCCAAGUAAAUAAUCAGCUAUUGACAAUAUUUCAUGUCAACUAAAUCAAAAUUUCAAAUCAGCUCCUGUUCAAAGUUGAUCUCAGAUCCCUCGGCAGGACCAGCUAGCUUCACCAAGCCAAUUAACCUUAACAUAGCUGAAAAUAGAAAACCAGAUACCAAGAAUCACAAAUUCCAUUCUGCGCUCAAUGAGUCCAACAAUAUUAUAUUGAACUAAUAGCACCCAAUUACACUUUCGGAAUGAACAAACUACCUAUGAUGAAGAAACAACCACAGGUUGUUGCUGAUAUACUGAGAUAUUAAAAAUAAAAUUCCACAUAUGACUAUGCUCAUUUUCCAGAGACGUAGCUUUAUAUUGAACUAUUUAUAAUGAUGUUGCAUACCGGAUACAUGUAUUUCAUUUCUUCUUCUGAUCUUAAGGAUGAAAAACAACACUCUUAGCUUAAAUUUGAUCAAAGAUUGUUUCCCACACGUGUGUGUAUUGCUUUUGAAAAUUGCUCACUUUUUGCAGAUUUGGUAACAUAAAUAUUGCAUCAAUUUCCGUUGAGAAGCCUCUCGAGUAAAUAAUCAGUUACUGAGAAUGUUUCAUGUCAUGUAAACCAAAAUUUCCCUUCAGAUCUUGUUCAAAGUUGAUUGCAAAUUCAUGGGUACAUGUAUCUUCUCCAGGCAAUAUAACCAUAACAGGUCUGAAAAAUAGAAACCAGAUAUCAAGAAUCAUAAAUUCCAUUAUGACCUCAAUAAGCUGAACAUUAGUACAUUGAACUAACUACAGCCAAUUGCAAUUUCUGAAUUUAUGUAAUAUGAAGAAACAAGCACCUGGUAUACUGAGAAAUUUCAAAAUAAAAAUGCCACAAAUUAAUAAUGCUUGUGUUUCACACAGUUUGCUUUAUAUAGAAAUAUUUAAUUAUGACACAUAAGGAAUACCUGUGUUUUAUAUUUCUUCUUCCAAUCUUGAGAAUAGUAAGCAUUAAGCAACCUUUUGCCCUGUAUUUCCUUUGAAAAUCUGCUCAUUUC
rnacentral:lncRNA from 1 species